AAGCCUGGCCAGCUUCUGGCCAGGAAGCGUUGUUGACUGGAUUUAAGUUGGGUUUCCUUAAGUAAUAGUAAGGGUUCUAAAAAGAUGAAGGUGUGAAGUCUAAAGAGAUGGCUGCUAGAGACGCAAGGCUUCCCACCAUUUUUUUUUUUUUUGGUCUUUCCCGUUUUACAUCUUCACAAUGAAAUAUAAUUUGAUGUUUGCCCUUGUUUGAAUACUCCAUGAAGAUGAGGAAAAUACAUGUUUGUGUCUAACAGUGUCUGGCAUGUGUGAUUUCUAUUGAGAUGGACUCAAUCUCAGAGAUUCUAUUCUCAGCUGUGUCCAGUCUACUGAGAGGCCCAUCAAAGGUUAGAGUACAAAACAUUCUCCCUGCAGUCUCACGAACUGUGAACAAAAACUGAAGUGAAAACUCAUAGUGCAUAACUCGUCAAUACUCCUGUGAUCGUAUAACCAUCAGCAAGAAAACAAAUUUGAUUGAGCCCCCAUCCAGUCCUCUUUGCGUGGAAUCAGACCUCUUUUGCAGUGGAAAGGAGCAG
rnacentral:lncRNA from 1 species